AUCAUGUGCGUUUAUUUUUGUAGCAUGACGACUAACCUUUAUCUACCUAACCAAGUAAAGAAUAAGCCUCAUUAGUGCCUGACUUAUAUCUGGGAGAGUAUUCUUUACAACCUCCAGCUUUAGCCAUGCACUGUUUGUGGGAGCUAGCUGUAACCUCCUCCUACCACCUGUUAGGGUGCAGGCUAUGUGCUGGUGGGUAAUAGACAGAGCUGAAGCUAGGCCCAGACCGUGCACCGCGGAGAGAGAUUAUUACCAGUGCACAAGACCUGCUGUUUCCUUUCUGCAUCGCCAUCGGACUUUGAAGUGUGGACUUUACCUUAUCACUGCAGAGAUGAAGUGUGGAUUUUAUCUUCUUCACUGCAGAUAUGGAAUGUGGAUUUUAUCCUCUUCACUGCAGAGAUGGAGUGUGGAUGGUCCUUCGCCAUUCAGGAGGAUGCGGAAGUGUCUGUUUUCCCUGCAGCUUCUGGGACGUUGUUAAGACAAGAUCGACUCCAACACCUUUCGCCUGCGCAUGAAGACAUCCAUCGACAGAGUGGCGAGCAGUGACGCCCUGGCUCCUCUGCCGGCUUGUGUCUCCCCUCCCUGGCUCAUCCUGAAGAGGAAGCACACUCCUGACCUUUCAGCAAUAAAAAGCCUCACUGACA